rnacentral:lncRNA from 1 species
UGCCGUAAGAGCCAUUAGUCCCGGUACGGAACCGGGGCUAAAGGUUUCGGAACUAAAUGUCCCACCUUUAGUCCUGGUUCCGUGGACCGGGACUAAAGGUCCACCUUUGGACCUUUAGUCCCGGUUGGUAACAGCAACCGGGACUAAAAGGUGCGCCAGGGUGUGCCACCUGGCCUCCAGUUUUAGUCCCGGUUGUUGCUACCAACCGGGACUAAAGACUUUUUUCUUUUUUCUUUUUCUUUUCAUUUGGUUUUCCAUUUAGGGUUUACAAUUAUGUUAUUGUUAUUUUCGAAUGCGUAUUGUUUGCUGGUAGUUUAUGGAACGCGCACCUAUAAUUUAUAUAAUUUAAAGCAUUACAUAUAAAUAUACUAUAAAACACUAUAUAUAUAUAUAUAUAAAUAAUAUGUAUCUAUAGGUCCAUAAUAUAAUAUUUACACAUAUGCUUCACGGACAAAUUAUUUACAACACAAUUUAUCUCCGCCACUCAAGCAUCGUACAAAUGAUCAUCGUUAUUUGGUUUCAUCUACUCGUGAGGGUUGAAGUAGCACUCGCCGCCGGGGUCUAGGACUUGGUCGUUAAAAAAUCCUACGAUUGUCUCCUGAAUUCCUUUUAGGCGCACCGCAUCCAACACCUGCUCCUUCAGCCACGUCUCCUUUAAUAGACAUUAAAGAAAAAAGUUAGAGGUAUGAAUAGGAUUUAUUAAAUAGCAACAAAUAAAUGAAAUAAACUUAUUAUAUAUACAUGUUACAUACUUUUAGGUGCUCAAGAUUAGUUCUUUUUGCAUAAACCGUCAUAAAGUCGCACACAUAGUAGCCACACAAAUUGUUGCCCGGUGUCUGUCGUAGAACCAUUGAAGUAAGAUGGGCUUUGAAAGUGCUGCAUUCAACUCUGGACGGUGUUUCUGCACGAACCCAGCCCAAACCCUAGCAAUAAAACGAUCAUUAUUAAUUAUCUAUUACCAAGUUAAAAGAGCAGAAUUUAAUAUAUAGAGAUCGAUGUUACCUUUGGAUAAUAUCUAUCAUUUCUUGGUAAUCAUCCAAUGGUUUUCUGAACGAGUCAUAGAUUACCAAUUGACAUAUUGCCAGAGAUCAAUGAAAAUUAGUAUCCAAUGAAAGCUGCAUUUGUGUGC